rnacentral:misc_RNA from 1 species
UCCAGCUUAUCGCUGGCGGUCUCCUGCGAGUUCCCAACUAAAUGAUGGCAACACAGGACAAGGGUUGCGCUCGUUGCGGGACUUAACCCAACAUCUCACGACACGAGCUGACGACAGCCAUGCACCACCUGUGCACUUGCUCCGAAGAGGGAACGUGUUUCCACGUUUUUCAAGUGCAUGUCAAGCCUUGGUAAGGUUCUUCGCGUUGCGUCGAAUUAAACCACAUGCUCCGCUGCUUGUGCGGGCCCCCGUCAGUUCCUUUGAGUUUUAGCCUUGCGGCCGUACUCCCCAGGCGGGGUGCUUAAUGCGUUAGCUUCGGCACCGGAGGGGUCGAUACCCCCGACACCUAGCACCCAUCGUUUACAGCGUGGACUAC